GCAGCCGCGGUAAUACGUAGGGGGCAAGCGUUGUCCGGAAUGACUGGGCGUAAAGGGCGUGUAGGCGGCUUUUUAAGUGUGAAGUGAAAGUCCUGCUUUCAAGGUGGGAACUGCUUUGCAAACUGGAGAGCUUGAGUGCGGAAGAGGUAAGUGGAAUUCCCAGUGUAGCGGUGAAAUGCGUAGAGAUUGGGAGGAACACCAGUGGCGAAGGCGACUUACUGGGCCGUAACUGACGCUGAGGCGCGAAAGCGUGGGGAGCGAACAGGAUUAGAUACCCC
rnacentral:rRNA from 1 species